AAGUCGCACGAGGUCGGGAGCUUGCUCCCGAACCGAGUGGCGAACGGGUGAGUAACACGUGACCAACCUGUCCCAGGGUGAGGGACAACCUGGGGAAACCCGGGCUAAUACCGCAUGAUGUCUCGAGGUCGCAUGGCCAUGAGAUCAAAGAGGGCCUCUGCUUGCAAGCUCUCGCCCAGGGAGGGGGUCGCGGCGUAUCAGCUAGUUGGUGAGGUAACGGCCCACCAAGGCUACGACGCGUAGCGGGUCUGAGAGGACGACCCGCCUCAUUGGGACUGAGAUACGGCCCAGACUCCUACGGGAGGCAGCAGUGGGGAAUAUUGCGCAAUGGACGAAAGUCUGACGCAGCGACGCCGCGUGUGGGAGGAAGCUCUUCGGGGUGUAAACCACUGUCAGGAGGGAAGAAAGGCGCUGACUCGAACAGGGUCUAGCGAUUGACGGUACCUCCAAAGGAAGCGCCGGCUAACUCCGUGCCAGCAGCCGCGGUAAGACGGAGGGCGCAAGCGUUGUUCGGAAUUACUGGGCGUAAAGCGCGGGCAGGCGGUCUGUUAAGUCGUUUGUGAAAAUCCGGGGCUCAACCCCGGAAAUGCAUACGAUACUGGCAGGCUGGAGACUGGUAGAGGCUAGCGGAAUUCCUGGUGUAGCGGUGGAAUGCGUAGAUAUC
rnacentral:rRNA from 1 species